rnacentral:rRNA from 1 species
UGGGGAAUUUUGCGCAAUGGGCGAAAGCCUGACGCAGCAACGCCGCGUGCGGGAUGAAGGCCUUCGGGUUGUAAACCGCUUUCAGCAGGGAUGAAACUGACAGUACCUGCAGAAGAAGCCCCGGCUAACUACGUGCCAGCAGCCGCGGUAAUACGUAGGGGGCAAGCGUUAUCCGGAUUCAUUGGGCGUAAAGAGCGCGUAGGCGGCUUGUUAAGCGAGAUGUGAAAACCGGGGGCUUAACCCGCGGCCUGCAUCUCGAACUGGCAGGCUUGAGUCUGGUAGAUGAGUGUGGAAUUCCCAGUGUAGCGGUGAAAUGCGCAGAUAUUGGGAGGAACACCAGUGGCGAAGGCGGCACUCUGAGCCACGACUGACGCUGAGGCGCGAAAGCUAGGGGAGCAAACA